rnacentral:rRNA from 1 species
GACGAACGCUGGCGGCGUGCUUAACACAUGCAAGUCGAACGGACGAGUGAGAUAAGUUUACUUAACUCACAAGUUAGUGGCGGACGGGUGAGUAACACGUGGAUAAUCUACCUGCAACACCGGGGAUAACGCUGUGAAAACGGUGCUAAUACCGGAUACGUUCCCUUGUGCGCAUGUAUGAGGGAAGAAAGCUCAGGCGGUUGCAGAUGAGUCCGCGGCUGAUUAGCUAGUUGGUGAGGUAAAGGCUCACCAAGGCGAUGAUCAGUAGCCGGCCUGAGAGGGUGAACGGCCACACUGGGACUGAGAUACGGCCCAGACUCCUACGGGAGGCAGCAGUUGGGAAUCUUAGGCAAUGGACGAAAGUCUGACCUAGCGACGCCGCGUGAGGGAAGAAGGCCUUCGGGUUGUAAACCUCUGUCAUGGGGGAAGAAGUAAGUGACGGUACCCCAAGAGGAAGCCCCUGCUAACUACGUG